CACCCCUUUCUUUCUUUCAAUUUCCCUCUAAAAUUCUGAUUUCAAGUUUAUAAUGCUAACCCACUUGUUACCCAAUUACUAAUUAGUGUAGUUAGGCCCAAUUGGUUAAACCAACCCAAUUCAAUUGUUGCAUAUGUAUUAUUUGGACUCAAAUCAGAUUUUUGUAAUGUUAAUUGUGUUACUUAGUUAAUUGUUGGGCUAUUAGAGUUUAACUAAGACUUAUUUGCCUAAUUAAACUAUCCACUUUAUUUUAUUCUUUGACUUGUGGGGCUAAUGAAAGACUAAAUUGAUUAAAUUAGUUUUAAUGAAGAUACUUGGUCUAAUUCUUUUAAUUGGGUUACUUUAUUCUUAUGAUAAAGUUAUGUUAUACUAUAUAUUUUUUGUAUAGAAAAUGGUUAUAAAUGGUUUAUGUUAAAUAAUUUUCAUUAAGCAAUGUUGAUGGCAUUUCUAAAACAAAAUGCUUUAAGUAUUACAAAUCAAAGAGAUUUAAAUGAAUCGACCUAUUAAUCUCUUACUUAGUUUCGUCUGAAUAAUUAAAUCAUAGGUUAUUAGGACCUUAUGGAGUUAUAAAAUUGAAGAUGGGUUAAGUAAGAAUAAUUUGGUUGUUUAGUGGAUGAUUUCUGAUUAUGGGUCAUGCUGUUAUAAUUUUGAGGGGGAUACAUGUAUGACGAUUCUUGGAGGCUAGUUAUGGCGAUACUUAAGGAGUAAGAAAAGGAAUAACGUUCGAGGUAUUAUAAAGAUAGCUCAGGAUCAGUUAUGUCAAGGAUGCUCCAGGAAGGCUGAGUUGAAGCGACUUUGUAUAUAUUUGGGUUAUCUAGAAUACUCUGUAUUUAUGGGUAGUAUCUAUUGCCUAA